rnacentral:lncRNA from 1 species
CGGAAACCCCAUCUGGGGAGCUGUUCUGCAAAGCUGCACCUUAUCCACCUCCUGGAGCAAAACACGAGCUACCUGCCGGGGACUGUUCAGAGUGCUUCCUGCGAAGUCUCCCACUCAGAAGUCACAGCGAUCCUAGGAGGUAGAUCUAUUCCUGUGCCCGUUUUACAGACAAGGAAACUGAGGCAGAGUUUUGGUAACCGGACUUGCCUUUGGAACCCAGCCGCCAUGCUGUGAGGAAGCCCAG